UUCGAGUGGCGGACGGGUGAGUAACGCGUGGGUAACCUGCCUUACACAGGGGGAUAACACCUGGAAACAGGUGCUAAUACCGCAUAAGCGCACAGGGCCGCAUGGCCCGGUGUGAAAAACUCCGGUGGUGUAAGAUGGACCCGCGUCUGAUUAGCUUGUUGGCGGGGUAGGGGCCCACCAAGGCGACGAUCAGUAGCCGGCCUGAGAGGGUGGACCGGCCACAUUGGGACUGAGACACGGCCCAAACUCCUACGGGAGGCAGCAG
rnacentral:rRNA from 1 species